ACCGUAAAAGUAAAGAAACUUUAGUUUAAANUUUGGAAAAAUNUUUAAGNNNNAGAAAGUUUGAGUUUUUAAAAGAGGUAAAAUUUCGAAAAAAAUUAUUCUUUCANAAUNGUAAAAUUUUUAGAAACUCAGGAGUGAAACUAGGAUUAGAUACCCUAUUAUUAUAGAAUAAAAAGAAAUNUAGGUAGUAUUAGAGGGCUUGAAACUUAAAGAAUUUGGCGGUGUUUUAAUCUAAUCAGAGGAACUUGUGUCUUAACUCGAAAUUACACGUUUCAUCUCACUUAAGUUUANGUUUGUAUAUCGUCGUAAAAAUAAAACUUUAAAGUGUAUAUUUAGAAUUAUUUAANUAAUAAAUUACAGAUCAAGGUUCAGCUNAUAUUUAAGNAGGACAUGAGUUACAAUAUUANUUAAAAUAAAUGGAUAAUUUUCUNNGAAAGAGGAAAUUUGAAGGUGGAUUUGAAAGU
rnacentral:rRNA from 1 species